CAUGAACACCGGUUCUGUAAUCUCUUGCAAAUUAUCAGUACUUCCCCAUCUACUCAACAUUCUCUCACAACGGUUGUAUGGCAACGAUUUGCUACUCCCUUUUCCCCUAAUUACUCCCCUUCUAUAUCUUCCAAUUUUCCUGUGCUUCUCCAUCUUUUCAAUCGCCCUCUCUACCUUCUUUGUUCUAUAGUUUUUAUUUGAAACAAUAUCUCUAAUUCCCUGAUAAUGUAUUCAUUAUUUACCCACGGCAUACUUACUUUACAAAUCAUGAACUAUUCGACGAAAAACAAAAUCAGGAAUCACAAACUGCUUCGGUGCACCCAACAAAUUUUGAGUCUGUGCGCUCAAUUAAUAUAGGUGUGGACGCACAAGGAAUACGAGGACAAAUAAACUUGUCCGCUCAACAAAUAUAGGUGUUGACGUACAAGGAAUACGAACAGAAAAUGCCAUUACGAGAUUGAG